rnacentral:rRNA from 1 species
CACGUAGUUAGCCGGGGCCUUUCUUCUCCAGGGUACCGUCAACUCCGGUGCAGUUACUCACCCGGACGUUCUUCCCUGGCGAACAGGAGCUUUACGAUCCGAAGACCUUCAUCACUCACGCGGCAUUGCUCCAUCAGGCUUUCGCCCAUUGUGGAAGAUUCCCUACUGCUGCCUCCCGUAGGAGUCUGGGCCGUGUCUCAGUCCCAGUGUGGCCGUUCACCCUCUCAGGUCGGCUACGCAUCGUCGCCUUGGUGAGCCGUUACCCCACCAACUAGCUAAUGCGCCGCAGGCCCAUCUCUCAGUGACAGCUUGCGCCGUCUUUCCUCAUCUCUCCAUGCGGAGAAACGAUGUAUCCGGUAUUAGCAUCCGUUUCCGGAAGUUAUCCCAGACUGAAAGGCAGGUUGCCUACGUGUUACUCACCCGUCCGCCGCUAACUUCGGUGGACAAGUUCCACCUUAGCCGCUCGACUUGCAUGUAUUGGCAUGCCGCCAGCGU